GCGCGCUUAGCUCAGUUGGCUAGAGCAUCUCGUUUACACCGAGAGGGUCGGGGGUUCGAGUCCCUCAGCGCGUACCA
rnacentral:tRNA from 1 species